rnacentral:misc_RNA from 1 species
GAUGAAGAACGUAGCGAAAUGCGAUAAGUAGUGUGAAUUGCAGAAUUCAGUGAAUCAUCGAAUCUUUGAACGCACAUUGCGGCCCUUGGUAUUCCAUGGGGCAUGCCUGUUCGAGCGUCAUUUGUACCUUCAAGCCUUGCUUGGUGUUGGGUGUUUGUCUCGCCUCUGCGCGCAGACUCGCCUCAAAACAAUUGGCAGCCGGCGUAUUGAUUUCGGAGCGCAGUACAUCUCGCGCUUUGCACUCAGAACGACGACGUCCAAAAGUACAUUUUUACACUCUUGACCUCGGAUCAGGUAGGGAUACCCGCUGAACUUAAGCAUAUCAAUAAGCGGAGGA